AUCCAGGUGACGAGUCCCAAAUAGGACGAAACAAGCGUCCUGGAU
rnacentral:hammerhead_ribozyme from 1 species